rnacentral:rRNA from 1 species
AGCGCAGGCGGGAGAACAAGUUGGAAGUGAAAUCCAUGGGCUCAACCCAUGAACUGCUUUCAAAACUGUUUUUCUUGAGUAGUGCAGAGGUAGGCGGAAUUCCCGGUGUAGCGGUGGAAUGCGUAGAUAUCGGGAGGAACACCAGUGGCGAAGGCGGCCUACUGGGCACCAACUGACGCUGAGGCUCGAAAGUGUGGGUAGCAAACAG